GGAAGUAACCACUGAGAGCAACCAGCAAUCCGACAUGGAAGGAAAUGGAAGCCAGCAACAGAGUGACGACAAGUUUACAGACAAUCCGAAUUCAAACGAUUUGCUCCCCGAUGCCGGCCAAUCAGAGGUUCUGAACAGCAGCGACGGUGGCGGCAAGAAGAGGGCCUGGGCCACGCAAGCUGAUCAAUCCGAAAACCAGAAGGAGAGGCAGAUGGGGGAGCAGUCGGGGUAUGAAUGGGAGCUCUGCAAUGUGACCUCCGG
rnacentral:misc_RNA from 1 species